AAUAUAUUUAUAUAGUUUAAAUAAAACUUUACAUUUUCAUUGUAAAAAUAAAGUAAUAUUCUUUUAUAAAUA
rnacentral:tRNA from 1 species